rnacentral:antisense_RNA from 1 species
CAGUAUUUGAUGAGUCUGAAUGAAAAUCUGAUGAAACAGAUGUUACUUGAAGCUGAGUGACUUUCUCAGGGUCAAGCAAAUAAGUAAAUGCAGGAGCCAGAAUUAUACCCCAGGAUCCCCAUCACAAGGAGGGGAGGGCUACCAUCCCAGCUGCAAACUCUCAUUCAAAGUUUAUGCUGCAGCCAGCAGUGUCCUUGGAGUCUAGUUCAAAGCUGAAGAGAGUGAACCAUGGAACUGGGAGCCAUUGGCGGAGAGGCUGGCCUGAAGGAAGGGAAGUGUUUCAGCCAGAAUGCACUGACGCACAACCAGGAAACCACAAGACUGGUGAGAACCUUUCCAAAACUGAGCUUUAUGAUCAAAAGAGGUACAGGAAACAGCUCUGCCAAGAGUCCUUUCUGCUCCUGGCUGGAACCCUGAGCUUCUGAGGCUCUCUGAGUCAACUCCCUGAACAGAUGCUGUCACCCAAGGAACCAUCACUAAAGCAUUUUUUUGCUUUGCUCUGAGGUGGCCUCACUGGUGGGUGCAAGUGAGUUACUGUCUCUUUUUCUCUUUCUUGUUUCUUUCUUUUGACAGAAGUUGCCAUAUGAUUACUCAAUUCUGAAUUUUCAGGGGCCAUAGGUUACUGGAUUUAUGCCCUUUGCCAACUGACUAUUGUUUGGUGCUGGGCCUGUAUACAAACACGACAUCCCCAAACUCUUAUCAAUACCUAGAUCACCUGACGUGAAUCUAUCAAUACCCUGGACUUAACAGGGUGCUGAAGGAAAGAGAACCAGCAAUUCCUUCAUUUCUUACAUCCCAGCCAGUAGUCCUUCUCCCAGGCUAGUCUUCCUUUUGUUUCCCCUAAGAAUGACUCAACUAGGAAUUGCAUUCAGAUCCCUGUCACAGAUAUAAAUCUUGUCUGGAUACAAGGUCAAAAUAAUUGUGUUCCUGUGGAUUCUUUUUCUUUUUUCAACCAGAGUAACUACCAGUUGCCAUGAAAUAAAUCACAUCAUCAUAUGGCAGAUCCAGCUAAUAGCUGAGACUGGCAGGAUAACUGAACCGUGUCCUCAGAGCUAAAUGAUGGAGAAAUUGGACUGGCCAUGGAGCACUUCAAAUUGAUUGCUUAGUAAUGGGAUAUUUUUCCUGGAAAGACAACAGAAUACUUCUGAAUUGUUGGUUCUGUCAUGGGUACAGGCUCCCAUGUACAGGAAAAUAAAGAAAGUGUGAUGAAUUUUUCAUCUGGCCUUCUGCCUACUUUCUUGCUUUCUGCAUGUCUCCAUUUUUAGUCUGUAAGCCCUGCCUAGAUGACCAAUCACUAUUGCCCAUGUGGCAUAAAACCUACAAUUUAACUAUACUUCUUACGAAACUCUCAGCAAGUAUGAGGUAGCCAACAGCUUUUUCAAGAUAAUGACUGAGUCUUAGCUUAGGUUUCAGUCAUUUUAGGAAACAUAAAAAAUUCAAUGGUGGGAGAUCAUACACCCUCUUCAAAGAUGUCAGAGAUCAAGUUUUGGGAGAGUCCACACACAAACUCAGCAGUGAUGGUAAAAUGUAUUUUUGAAAUAUUUCUCCUCUGUGACUGUUAUGUGAAGUAAAGCAAACACAUUGUGCUGCAGUGUUCUUUGGGACAUGCCUUUUUUGGGAAGUGCUAACUUUAUACUCUGCUGACACCAAACAUUUGAAUAUAAAACCUUAUUUUUUUCUCUCACUCUGCUCCACUUUUGGCUCAGCUUAUUCUACCAAAACACACUUCAAAAGACUUCUUUAUAGAAAGAAUGUUUCAAAAAUAUAAUAUUUCCAUCUGUUAUUUCAAUAAUACAUGCUCUGGGACUCUCUUUAUGAACCAUUUUCCUUUCUUUGCUCCCAUUUAGAUGUAUAAAUAUUUGAUUCUAAAGCUCUAAGGAAUAGUCAGCCAAUCGGGUCACUGAAUUGUGAACAUUCCUAACCCUAUAAUUUUGUCUGUAGCAGGCACCUCCUGCUGUGGAACUAACUGCUAAGGGAUUAUAGCAAUGUAAUCCUCAGACUGUUCCAUCUCAAGGUUACUCUGAAGUGGAGGGAAGGAAGCCGUUUUAAUUUUGAUAAAAUAAACUUUAUUUUGUAACUUU